GAUGAAGGUUAUUCGGAUCGUAAAACUCUGUUGUUAGGGAAAAACAAGUACCGUUCAAAUAGGGCGGUACCUUGACGGUACCUAACCAAAAAGCCACGGCUAACUACGUGCCACCACCCGCGGUAAUACUUAGGUGGCAAGCGUUGUCCGGAAUUAUUGGGCGUAAAGCGCGCGCAGGCGGUUUCUUAAUUCUGAUGUGAAAGCCCCCGGCUCAACCGGGGAGGGUCAUUGGAAACUGGGGAACUUGAGUGCAGAAAAGGAAAGUGGAAUUCCACGUGUAGCGGUGAAAUGCUUAGAGAUGUGAAGGAACACCAGUGCCAAAGGCAACUCUCUGGUCUGUAACUGACGCUAAGGCGCG
rnacentral:rRNA from 1 species